GAAAAUGUUGUUCCCCAACCUGAGGACUUUAGCCCAACUCUACUGUCUGGUACCAGCAUCCACAGCAGAUUGUGAGCGAGGAUUUUCUGCUUUAAAGAGAAUUAAGACCACCAGCAGGAACAGGCUGUCACAGAAGGUUUUGAACUCUCUGAUGAUGGUAUCAACACAGGGACCACCUCCCAGGGAGUUCUCAUACAAGAUGGCUGCUUCUCUGUGGAAGGGCCUGUGUAACAGGAGAGUGACCUUGUCAUAGAGACAUAGUGUUUGAUAUCUAGGAUUUAUUAAUAUAGUGGAGACUUUUUUCAGAACAAGUGACUGUUACAUCAUGUGUGAAAUUAUGUUGUGCAUUUAAAUACUUGCUAUAUUCUUAUGCCAUGAAAUAGUAGCUAUAUAUGUUGAUUUGUAGUUGUACAUAAUUACUUGAUACCUUUUUGAAAUGAUGUUGUGUAUUUAAAUAAUAUUACAUUCUUGUCAUUAAAUAGUUGCUAUAUAA